rnacentral:rRNA from 1 species
AAAGAAAAUAACAAUGAUUCCCCUAGUAACUGCGAGUGAAGAGGGACAAGCUCAAAUUUUAAAUCUAUCGGGUUUUACCCGAUCGAGUUGUAAUUUGAAGAAGCGUUUUCUGCGUUUUUGGUCAGCCUAAGUCCUAUUGAAUGAGGCAUCAUGGAGGGUGAUAAUCCCGUCCGGUUGAUCAUUUGCGUUUUACGAUACGCUCUCUAAGAGUCAAGUUGUUUGGGAUUGCAGCUUAAAAUGGGAGGUAAAUUUCUCCUAAGGCUAAAUAACGGCGAGAGACCGAUAGCGAACAAGUACCGUGAGGGAAAGAUGAAAAGAACCUUGAAAAGAGAGUUAAACAGUACGUGAAAUUGUUGAAAGGGAAACGAUUGAAGCCAGUCGUACCUUCGGGUAAUCAGCCUUUCGGGUGCGAUUCUGUGGAGUGUGAGGAGCUUAACACCUUCAUGCUUUGCAUAUUUGUGCUCUUGGGUGUACUUGCCCGUGUGGUUGGUUAACAUCAAUUUUGAUUAUCAUAAAAUGACUGGAGGAAUGUAGCUUCGAUCUCGUAUUGAAGUGUUAUAGCCUUCGGUAGAUGUGAUGAUCGAGAUUGAGGAUUGCAACGGAUACCCUUCGGGGCCACCUGUCUGGUCUCUGAUCGUUGCUCUGGUGCCGAAAGCGUGCUUACGGUUAUCAAAGUCGAUGGUCAAUAGGUUAGAACGGGUUAAAUU